GGCUUUGGACAGGAUGGGAAUGGAUUUAAUAGAAACUGGAAAUCCAGAUGCAUUCAAACAGUAUCUGUCGGAGUUUGAUAACACCAUUCAUUUGUAGAGGAUCAGUAACUUGGGGAUUAUUUUCUGUCUUAUGGCUGGAACUUUUGGUUUUGGCCAUGACUGGCUGGGUGAAGGAGCUUUUGAGGAAUUAUUGUAACAAGAAUUUCAGAAAUUGAGGUUUAUUGAGUUGAUAGAUUGUUGUUUUUCUGGGGCUGAUGAGAACACUCAGACUAAUGGAGGAAAUGAACUUAUUUUUCCAGUUUAUCCAGUCCUUCCGUGCAGAGAUACAAUGCAGCGCUCAAGAACAAAUUCCUAUGAUCUUCUUGCCCAUCUUCCUUCUUCUCUGUCCUUGGACUCUGGCCCAAUGCAACAUUUCACUGGAGCAAGACACCCUGCUUGGUUAUGGCUGCAAUACAAGCUUCCCUGUCAAUAUAAAUGACAUGAGCACUGA